rnacentral:rRNA from 1 species
UACGUAGGGUCCGAGCGUUGUCCGGAAUUAUUGGGCGUAAAGAGCUCGUAGGCGGUCUGUCGCGUCGGCUGUGAAAACACGGGGCUCAACUCCGUGCCUGCAGUCGAUACGGGCAGACUAGAGUUCGGUAGGGGAGACUGGAAUUCCUGGUGUAGCGGUGAAAUGCGCAGAUAUCAGGAGGAACACCGGUGGCGAAGGCGGGUCUCUGGGCCGAAACUGACGCUGAGGAGCGAAAGCGUGGGGAGCGAACAGG